rnacentral:rRNA from 1 species
UCGUAACAAGGUCUCCGUUGGUGAACCAGCGGAGGGAUCAUUACCGAGUUUACAACUCCCAAACCCCUGUGAACAUACCUUAUGUUGCCUCGGCGGAUCAGCCCGCGCCCCGUAAAAAGGGACGGCCCGCCGCAGGAACCCUAAACUCUGUUUUUAGUGGAACUUCUGAGUAUAAAAAACAAAUAAAUCAAAACUUUCAACAACGGAUCUCUUGGUUCUGGCAUCGAUGAAGAACGCAGCAAAAUGCGAUAAGUAAUGUGAAUUGCAGAAUUCAGUGAAUCAUCGAAUCUUUGAACGCACAUUGCGCCCGCCAGUAUUCUGGCGGGCAUGCCUGUUCGAGCGUCAUUUCAACCCUCAAGCCCAGCUUGGUGUUGGGAGCUGCAGUCCUGCUGCACUCCCCAAAUACAUUGGCGGUCACGUCGAGCUUCCAUAGCGUAGUAAUUUACAUAUCGUUACUGGUAAUCGUCGCGGCCACGCCGUUAAACCCCAACUUCUGAAUGUUGACCUCGGAUCAGGUAGGAAUACCCGCUGAACUUAAGCAUAUCAAUAA